CCCGCUGAACUUAAGCAUAUCAAUAAGCGGAGGAAAAGAAACUAACAAGGAUUCCCCUAGUAACUGCGAGUGAAGAGGGAAGAGCUCAAAUUUAAAAUCUGGCUGUCUCUGGCAGUCCGAGUUGUAGUUUAGAGAAGCGUUAUCCGCGCUGGCCUGUGCAUAAGUUUCUUGGAAAAGAACAUCAUAGAGGGUGACAAUCCCGUCUUUGGCACAGAUAACCGGGGCUUUUGUGAUGCGCUCUCAACGAGUCGUGUUGUUUGGGAAUGCAGCACUAAAUGGGUGGUAAAUUCCAUCUAAAGCUAAAUAUUGGCGAGAGACCGAUAGCGAACAAGUACCGUGAGGGAAAGAUGAAAAGAACUUUGAAAAGAGAGUUAAACAGUACGUGAAAUCGUUGAAAGGGAAACGCUUGAAGUCAGUCGCGUCUGCUAGGGAUCAAGUUGCCUUUUGGUGACCGCACUUCCUAGUCGGAUGGGUCAGCAUCAAUUUUGACUGUUGGAUAAAGGCUUAGGGAAUGUGGCAUCUUCGGAUGUGUUAUAGACCUGGGUUGUAUACAAUGGUUGGGAUUGAGGAACUCAGUGUGCCUUCAUGGUUGGGGCUUCGGCUCACAUCACACACUUAGGAUGCUGGCAUAAUGGCUUUAAUCGACCCGUCUUGAAACACGG
rnacentral:rRNA from 1 species